rnacentral:rRNA from 1 species
GAGUUUGAUCCUGGCUCAGGAUGAACGCUGGCGGCGUGCUUAACACAUGCAAGUCGAACGAACCUUCGGGUGAGUGGCGGACGGGUGAGUAACGCGUGAGGAUCUACCCUUAGGUUGGGGACAACCACUGGAAACGGUGGCUAAUACCCGAUGUGGCGAGAGCUGAAAGAUUAAUUGCCUGAGGAUGAACUCGCGUCUGAUUAGCUAGUUGGUGUGGUAAUGGCAUACCAAGGCGACGAUCAGUAGCUGGUCUGAGAGGAUGAUCAGCCACACUGGGACUGAGACACGGCCCAGACUCCUACGGGAGGCAGCAGUGGGGAAUUUUCCGCAAUGGGCGAAAGCCUGACGGAGCAACGCCGCGUGCGGGAGGAAGGUUUUAGGACUGUAAACCGCUUUUCUCAGGGAAGAAGCUCUGACGGUACCUGAGGAAUAAGCAUCGGCUAAUUCCGUGCCAGCAGCCGCGGUAAUACGGGAGAUGCAAGCGUUAUCCGGAAUUAUUGGGCGUAAAGCGUUCGCAGGCGGCUAAUCAAGUCUGCUGUCAAAGUCCGCAGCUCAACUGCGGGA